rnacentral:rRNA from 1 species
CGUCACACUAUCGUUAACUGAAUACAUAGGUUAACGAGGCGAACCGGGGGAACUGAAACAUCUAAGUACCCCGAGGAAAAGAAAUCAACCGAGAUUCCCCCAGUAGCGGCGAGCGAACGGGGAGCAGCCCAGAGUCUGAAUCAGCUUGUGUGUUAGUGGAACGGUCUGGAAAGUCCGACGGUACAGGGUGAUAGUCCCGUACACCAAAAUGCACAGGUUGUGAACUCGAAGAGUAGGGCGGGACACGUGGUAUCCUGUCUGAAUAUGGGGGGACCAUCCUCCAAGGCUAAAUACUCCUGACUGACCGAUAGUGAACCAGUACCGUGAGGGAAAGGCGAAAAGAACCCCGGCGAGGGGAGUGAAAAAGAACCUGAAACCGUGUACGUACAAGCAGUGGGAGCACCUUCGGGUGUGACUGCGUACCUUUUGUAUAAUGGGUCAGCGACUUAUAUUCUGUAGCAAGGUUAACCGUAUAGGGGAGCCGCAGGGAAACCGAGUCUUAACUGGGCGUUAAGUUGCAGGGUAUAGACCCGAAACCCGGUGAUCUAGCCAUGGGCAGGUUGAAGGUUGGGUAACACUAACUGGAGGACCGAACCGACUAAUGUUGAAAAAUUAGCGGAUGACUUGUGGCUGGGGGUGAAAGGCCAAUCAAACCGGGAGAUAGCUGGUUCUCCCCGAAAGCUAUUUAGGUAGCGCCUCGUGAAUUCAUCUUCGGGGGUAGAGCACUGUUUCGGCUAGGGGGUCAUCCCGACUUACCAACCCGAUGCAAACUACGAAUACCGAAGAAUGUUAUCACGGGAGACACACGGCGGGUGCUAACGUCCGUCGUGAAGAGGGAAACAACCCAGACCGCCAGCUAAGGUCCCAAAGUCAUGGUUAAGUGGGAAACGAUGUGGGAAGGCACAGACAGCCAGGAUGUUGGCUUAGAAGCAGCCAUCAUUUAAAGAAAGCGUAAUAGCUCACUGGUCGAGUCGGCCUGCGCGGAAGAUGUAACGGGGCUAAACCAUGCACCGAAGCUGCGGCAGCGACACUAUGUGUUGUUGGGUAGGGGAGCGUUCUGUAAGCCUGCGAAGGUGGCCUGUGAGGGUUGCUGGAGGUAUCAGAAGUGCGAAUGCUGACAUAAGUAACGAUAAAGCGGGUGAAAAGCCCGCUCGCCGGAAGACCAAGGGUUCCUGUCCAACGUUAAUCGGGGCAGGGUGAGUCGACCCCUAAGGCGAGGCCGAAAGGCGUAGUCGAUGGGAAACAGGUUAAUAUUCCUGUACUUGGUGUUACUGCGAAGGGGGGACGGAGAAGGCUAUGUUAGCCGGGCGACGGUUGUCCCGGUUUAAGCAUGUAGGCUGGUUGUCCAGGCAAAUCCGGAUAAUCAAGGCUGAGGUGUGAUGACGAGGCACUACGGUGCUGAAGUAACAAAUGCCCUGCUUCCAGGAAAAGCCUCUAAGCAUCAGGUAACAUCAAAUCGUACCCCAAACCGACACAGGUGGUCAGGUAGAGAAUACCAAGGCGCUUGAGAGAACUCGGGUGAAGGAACUAGGCAAAAUGGUGCCGUAACUUCGGGAGAAGGCACGCUGGUGUGUAGGUGAAGUCCCUGCGGAUGGAGCUGAGACCAGUCGAAGAUACCAGCUGGCUGCAACUGUUUAUUAAAAACACAGCACUGUGCAAACACGAAAGUGGACGUAUACGGUGUGACGCCUGCCCGGUGCCGGAAGGUUAAUUGAUGGGGUUAUCCGUAAGGAGAAGCUCUUGAUCGAAGCCCCGGUAAACGGCGGCCGUAACUAUAACGGUCCUAAGGUAGCGAAAUUCCUUGUCGGGUAAGUUCCGACCUGCACGAAUGGCGUAAUGAUGGCCAGGCUGUCUCCACCCGAGACUCAGUGAAAUUGAACUCGCUGUGAAGAUGCAGUGUACCCGCGGCAAGACGGAAAGACCCCGUGAACCUUUACUAUAGCUUGACACUGAACAUUGAGCCUUGAUGUGUAGGAUAGGUGGGAGGCUUUGAAGCGUGGACGCCAGUCUGCGUGGAGCCAACCUUGAAAUACCACCCUUUAAUGUUUGAUGUUCUAACGUUGGCCCCUGACCGGGGUUGCGGACAGUGUCUGGUGGGUAGUUUGACUGGGGCGGUCUCCUCCCAAAGCGUAACGGAGGAGCACGAAGGUUAGCUAAUCCUGGUCGGACAUCAGGAGGUUAGUGCAAUGGCAUAAGCUAGCUUGACUGCGAGCGUGACGGCGCGAGCAGGUGCGAAAGCAGGUCAUAGUGAUCCGGUGGUUCUGAAUGGAAGGGCCAUCGCUCAACGGAUAAAAGGUACUCCGGGGAUAACAGGCUGAUACCGCCCAAGAGUUCAUAUCGACGGCGGUGUUUGGCACCUCGAUGUCGGCUCAUCACAUCCUGGGGCUGAAGUAGGUCCCAAGGGUAUGGCUGUUCGCCAUUUAAAGUGGUACGCGAGCUGGGUUUAGAACGUCGUGAGACAGUUCGGUCCCUAUCUGCCGUGGGCGCUGGAGAAUUGAGGGGGGCUGCUCCUAGUACGAGAGGACCGGAGUGGACGCAUCACUGGUGUUCGGGUUGUCAUGCCAAUGGCACUGCCCGGUAGCUAAAUGCGGAAGAGAUAAGUGCUGAAAGCAUCUAAGCACGAAACUUGCCCCGAGAUGAGUUCUCCCUGAGACUUUAAGUCUCCUGAAGGAACGUUGAAGACGACGACGUUGAUAGGCCGGGUGUGUAAGCGCAGCGAUGCGUUGAGCUAACCGGUACUAAUGAACCGUGAGGCUUAACCUU